GUCGGGGUGGGUGAGUGGCUAAUACCACCGGUCUGUAAAACCGGCGCCGAAAGGCUUCGCAGGUUCGAAUCCUGCCCCCGGCACCA
rnacentral:tRNA from 3 species